UAAUGUAUCGGAACGUGCCCAGUCGUGGGGGAUAACUGCUCGAAAGAGCAGCUAAUACCGCAUACGACCUGAGGGUGAAAGCGGGGGAUCGCAAGACCUCGCGCGAUUGGAGCGGCCGAUAUCAGAUUAGGUAGUUGGUGAGGUAAAGGCUCACCAAGCCGACGAUCUGUAGCUGGUCUGAGAGGACGACCAGCCACACUGGGGCUGAGACACGGCCCAG
rnacentral:rRNA from 1 species